rnacentral:rRNA from 1 species
UGCCAGCCGCCGCGGUAAAACGUAGGAGGCGAGCGUUAUCCGGAGUUACUGGGCGUAAAGCGCGUGCAGGUGGGUUGGUAAGUUACUUAUGAAAGCUCCUGGCUAAACUAGGAGAGGUUGAGUGAAACUGCCAGUCUAGAGUGGAUGAGAGGAAGAUAGAAUUCCGCGUGUAGUGGUGAAAUGCGUAGAUAUGCGGAGGAAUACCAGUGGCGAAGGCGAUCUUCUGGCAUCCAACUGACACUCAGACGCGAAAGCAUGGGUAGCGAACGGGAUUAGAUA